rfam:Triticum aestivum genome assembly, contig: Triticum_aestivum_CS42_TGACv1_scaffold_404767_5BL
UUGGCAUGAUGAGGAAGACAAUUGGCGUCUGAUCUAUUUGAUGAUAAAAUCCUCCUACUCAUUCUGA